rnacentral:rRNA from 1 species
AGUGAACGCUGGCGGCAGGCCUAACACAUGCAAGUCGAACGGCAGCACAGGAGAGCUUGCUCUCUGGGUGGCGAGUGGCGGACGGGUGAGGAAUAUAUCGGAAUCUACCCUUUCGUGGGGGAUAACGUAGGGAAACUUACGCUAAUACCGCAUACGAACUGAGGUUGAAAGCGGCGGACCGCAAGGAGUCGCGCGGACGGAUGAGCAGAUAUCCGAUUAGCUAGUUGGCGGGGUAAAGGCCCACCAAGGCGACGAUCGGUAGCUGGUCUGAGAGGAUGAUCAGCCACACUGGAACUGAGACACGGUCCAGACUCCUACGGGAGGCAGCAGUGGGGAAUAUUGGACAAUGGGCGCAAGCCUGAUCCAGCCAUGCCGCGUGUGUGAAGAAGGCCUUCGGGUUGUAAAGCACUUUUGUUGGGAAAGAAAAGCGGUCGGUUAAUACCCGGUCGUUCUGACGGUACCCAAAGAAUAAGCACCGGCUAACUUCGUGCCAGCCGCCGCGGUAA